rnacentral:rRNA from 1 species
CCACGUAGGGGGCGAGCGUUGUUCGGAAUCAUUGGGCGUAAAGGGCGCGCAGGCGGCGAGGCAAGUCCGGUGUGAAAGUGCUCGGCUCAACCGAGUGAUGCGCUGGAAACUGCCCUGCUUGAGUACAGGAGGGGACGUCGGAAUUCCAGGUGUAGGGGGGAAAUCUGUAGAUAUCUGGAAGAACACCGGUGGCGAAGGCGGACGUCUGGCCAUGUACUGACGCUGAGGCGCGAAGGUGCGGGGAGCGAACAGGUUUAGAUACCCUGGUAGUCCGCACAGUAAACGAUGUGCACCAGGUGGCGGGGGGUAGCCCUCGGUACCGAAGCCAACGCAUUAAGUGCACCGCCUGGGGAGUAUGCUCGCAAGGGUGAAACUCAAAUGAAUUGACGGGG